rnacentral:rRNA from 1 species
CCUGGCUCAGGAUGAACGCUAGCGGGAGGCCUAACACAUGCAAGCCGAGCGGUAGAAGAUCUUCGGAUYUUUGAGAGCGGCGUACGGGUGCGGAACACGUGUGCAACCUGCCUUUAUCAGGGAGAUAGCCUUUCGAAAGGAAGAUUAAUAUCCCAUAAUAUUUUGAGUGGCAUCACUUAAAAUUGAAAGCUCCGGCGGAUAGAGAUGGGCACGCGCAAGAUUAGAUAGUUGGCGGGGUAACGGCCCACCAAGUCAAUGAUCUUUAGGGGGCCUGAGAGGGUGAUCCCCCACACUGGUACUGAGACACGGACCAGACUCCUACGGGAGGCAGCAGUGAGGAAUAUUGGACAAUGGGUGAGAGCCUGAUCCAGCCAUCCCGCGUGAAGGACGACGGCCCUAUGGGUUGUAAACUUCUUUUGUAUAGGGAUAAACCUACCCUCGUGAGGGUAG